CGGGCGAAGCGCCGGUCUAAGUCCCUUGGAACGGGGCGUCGUAGAGGGUGAGAAUCCCGUAUGCGACCGGUGAUCGAGUCCAGGUGAAGCUCCUUCGACGAGUCGAGUUGUUUGGGAAUGCAGCUCAAAAUGGGUGGUAAAUUUCAUCUAAAGCUAAAUACCGGCCAGAGACCGAUAGCGCACAAGUAGAGUGAUCGAAAGAUGAAAAGCACUUUGGAAAGAGAGUCAAAAAGUACGUGAAAUUGUUGAAAGGGAAGCGCUUGCAACCAGACCUGCCCGCGGGUGAUCAACCGUCCUUCUGGGCGGUGCACUCGCCCGUGAUCAGGCCAGCAUCGGUUCGGGCGGCCGGAUAAAGGCCUUGGGAACGUAGCUCCUCUCGGGGAGUGUUAUAGCCCUCGGUGCAAUGCGGCCAGCCUGGACCGAGGACCGCGCUUCGGCUAGGAUGCUGGCGUAAUGGUUGUAAGCGGCCCGUCUUGAAACACGGACCAAGGAGUCUAACAUUUAUGCGAGUGUUUGGGUGUCAAACCCAUACGCGUAAUGAAAGUGAACGGAGGUGGGAACCCUUCACGGGGCGCACCAUCGACCGAUCCAGAUGUCUUCGGAUGGAUUUGAGUACGAGCAUAACUGUUGGGACCCGAAAGAUGGUGAACUAUGCCUGAAUAGGGUGAAGCCAGAGGAAACUCUGGUGGAGGCUCGCAGCGGUUCUGACGUGCAAAUCGAUCGUCAAAUUUGGGCAUAGGGGCGAAAGACUAAUCGAACCAUC
rnacentral:rRNA from 1 species